rnacentral:rRNA from 1 species
UGGGGAAUUUUGGACAAUGGGCGAAAGCCUGAUCCAGCAAUGCCGCGUGUGUGAAGAAGGCCUUCGGGUUGUAAAGCACUUUUGUCCGGAAAGAAAUCCUUGGCUCUAAUACAGUCGGGGGAUGACGGUACCGGAAGAAUAAGCACCGGCUAACUACGUGCCAGCAGCCGCGGUAAUACGUAGGGUGCAAGCGUUAAUCGGAAUUACUGGGCGUAAAGCGUGCGCAGGCGGUUUGCUAAGACCGAUGUGAAAUCCCCGGGCUCAACCUGGGAACUGCAUUGGUGACUGGCAGGCUAGAGUAUGGCAGAGGGGGGUAGAAUUCCACGUGUAGCAGUGAAAUGCGUAGAGAUGUGGAGGAAUACCGAUGGCGAAGGCAGCCCCCUGGGCCAAUACUGACGCUCAUGCACGAAAGCGUGGGGAGCAAACAGGAUUAGAUACCCUGGUAGUCCACGCCCUAAACGAUGUCAACUAGUUGUGGGGAUUCAUUCCUUAGUAACGUAGCUAACGCGUGAAGUUGACCGCCUGGGGAGUACGGUCGCAAGAUUAAAACUUAAAGGAAUUGACGGGGUCAUAGCUGUUUCCU